GUGAAAAGAAACAUAUUGCAACUAAUUCGCAUUAAAACAUAUCAAUUUUUUACAUUUUGCUAAAUUACUCAAAAAAUGGUAUGGAAUUUGGUUCCUCGAAUAACUUCUGGCACAGACAUCUGAGGGCAUGGCCGUCCAAGAAGAAAAUGUAGCCAUUGAUGCCAUCUAUCGACCACAGUUUAAAGAUUGACGAUCCGUUUGAAAGGGACCGAGUUAUAGACAAAACUUGGUGCAAAAAUGAGGAAAAUUUUACAUUUUAUCAAACAGGGUAUGGAACUUGGUUUCUCGAAUAACUUCUGGCACAAACAUCUGAGGGCAUGGCCGUCCAAGAAGAAAAUGUAGCCAUUGAUGCCAUCUAUCGACCACAGGCAAAGAUUGGCGAUCCGUUGAAUGCCGACAGAGUUAGAGACAAAACUUGGUGCAAAAAUGAGGAAAAUUUUACAUUUUCACAAACAGGGUAUGGAACUUGGUUUCUCGAAUAACUUCUGGCACAGACAUCUGAGGGCAUGGCCGUCCAAGAAGAAAAUGUAGCCAUUGAUGCCAUCUAUUGACCACAGGCAAAGAUUGGCGAUCCGUUGGAUACUAAUCGAGUUAUAGGCAAAACUUGGUGCAAAAAUGAGGAAAAUUUUACAUUUUCACAAACAGGGUAUGGAACUUGGUUCCUCGAAUAACUUCUGGCACAGACAUCUGAGGGCAUGGCCGUCCAAGAAGAAAAUGUAGCCAUUGAUGCCAUCUAUUGACCACAGGCAAAAAUUGGCGAUCCGUUGGAUACUAAUCGAGUUAUAGGCAAAACUUGGUGCAAAAAUGAGGAAAAUUUUACAUUUUCACAAACAGGGUAUGGAACUUGGUUCCUCGAAUAACUUCUGGCACAGACAUCUGAGGGCAUGGCCGUCCAAGAAGAAAAUGUAGCCAUUGGUGCCAUCUAUCGACCACAGUUCAAAUAUUGGAAAUCCGUUGGAUACCAACCGAGUUAUAGACAAAACUUGGUGCAAAAAUGAGCCUUGGAGAUUGGUAAAUGUAUAGAUUUUUUUGAUUUUUUUAAUGUUUUGUAUGCUUUUUUAUUUUAAAGCAUUAUUUGAGUGAAAAGAAACUUAUUGUAACAAUUUCGCAUGAAAAUAAAACAAUUUUUUAAAUUUUGCUAAUUUGCUCAAAAAAAUGGCAAGGGGUACCCCUUAUGAAAUUUUCGAGUUGAAAAUAUUUUUUUUAUUUUUUUGUUAUUUUUUAUUCUUUUCUUCUUCUAAAACAUUAUUUGAGUGAAAAGAAACUUAUUGCAACUAAUUCGCAUUAAAACAUAUCAAAUUUUUACAUUUUGCUAAAUUACUCAAAAAAUGGUAUGGAAUUUGGUUCCUCCAAUAACUUCUGGCACAGACAUCUGAGGGCAUGGCCGUCCAAGAAGAAAAUGUAGCCAUUGAUGCCAUCUAUCGACCACAGUUUAAAGAUUGACGAUCCGUUGGAUAGGGACCGAGUUAUAGACAAAACUUGGUGCAAAAAUGAGGAAAAUUUUACAUUUUAUCAAACAGGGUAUGGAACUUGGUUUCUCGAAUAACUUCUGGCACAGACAUCUGAGGGCAUGGCCGUCCAAGAAGAAAAUGUAGCCAUUGAUGCCAUCUAUCGACCACAGGCAAAGAUUGGCGAUCCGUUGGAUACCGACCGAGUUAUAGACAAAUCUUGGUGCAAAAAUGAGCCUUGGAGAUUGGUAAAUGUAUAGAUUUUUUUAUUUUUUUAAUGUUUUGUAUGCUUUUUUAUUUUAAAGCAUUGUUUGAGUGAAAAGAAACUUAUUGUAACAAUUUCGCAUGAAAAUAAAACAAUUUUUUAAAUUUUGCUAAUUUGCUCAAAAAAAUGGCAAGGGGUACCCCUUAUGAAAUUUUCGAGUUGAAAAUAUUUUUUUUAUUUUUUUGUUAUUUUUUAUUCUUUUCUUCUUGUAAAACAUUAUUUGAGUGAAAAGAAACUUAUUGCAACUAAUUCGCAUUAAUAUUUAUCAAAAUUUUGCUAAAUUACUCAAAAAAUGGUAUGGAAUUUGGUUCCUCGAAUAACUUCUGGCAUAGACAUCUGAGGGCAUGGCCGUCCAAGAAGAAAAUGUAGCCAUUGAUGCCAUCUAUCGACCACAGGCAAAAAUUGGCGAUCCGUUGGAUAGGGACCGAGUUAUAGGCAAAACUUGGUGCAAAAAUGAGGAAAAUUUUACAUUUUCACAAACAGGGUAGGGAACUUGGUUCCUCGAAUAACUUCUGGCACAGACAUCUGAGGGCAUGGCCGUCCAAGAAGAAAAUGUAGCCAUUGAUGCCAUCUAUCGACCACAGGCAAAAAUUGACGAUCCGUUGGAUACCGACCGAGUUAUAGACAAAACUUGGUGCAAAAAUGAAGAAAAUUUUACAUUUUCACAAACAGGGUAUGGAACUUGGUUCCUCGAAUAACUUCUGGCACAGACAUCUGAGGGCAUGGCCGUCCAAGAAGAAAAUGUAGUUAUUGAUGCCAUCUAGCGACCACAGGCAAAGAUUGGCGAUCCGUUGGAUACCGACCGAGUUAUAGACAAAACUUGGUGCAAAAAUGAGCCUUGGAGAUUGGUAAAUGUAUAGAUUUUUUUGAUUUUUUUAAUUAUUUGUAUGCUUUUUUAAAUUUUAAGCAUUAUU